ACUUCUAAAAGGAAGAAUUAAGUGUAAACUUGAGCAAAGCGCUACUUCUUAUAAUACCUUUGGCGAUCGCAGUGUUUAUUGGAUUCGUAGCGUACCAUUACUUGAAGCCACAUCUCCCUGCCACGAGAAGAGUUUUCGAAUCGCAAAAUAAAAGUUCUACUAGAACUUACACAACGCGAGGUUUUUAGUGCCCGUUGGUUUGAUAUAUCAUCACCUUUUGGCCGCAUUUUUCCUUAUAUGCCUCAAUUAUGAGCAGCUUUGGUUGGGCUGGGCUACCAUGAUUACAAGUCUUAACCAUCGGACCAAGAUAAUGUACACUCUCCUUCACGGUCAUGCAUCUGCUGGUACAAUUGCAGCAAGUACCUCUGUUUCCUGAUACCGCUCGUCGCAGCUGUGGUGUUAGGAAUGAUACUGUACAAUUACAUCAAAUCUCAAUUUCCUGAAGUACCA